rnacentral:rRNA from 1 species
GGCUGCGAUCAUACUAAUACUAAGGCAUCAGAUCCCAUCAGAACUCCACAGUUAAGCAUGGUGAGGAGAGAGAAUAUUUUAUUAUGAAAUGAGAACAGCUUACAGAGAGAAUAGAGUGUUUUUCGUAGUCU